rfam:Megaselia scalaris, Durham, NC isolate 2 -- Noor lab, WGS project CAQQ02000000 data, contig: ctg0000251592
AUGGCGGUAGCUCAAUUGGUAGAGCAAUUCCUCAACCAGGAAGAGGUUGUGGGUUCAAAUCCCACCUGCUAUU